rnacentral:rRNA from 1 species
UCCUACGGGAGGCAGCAGUGGGGAAUUUUGGACAAUGGGGGCAACCCUGAUCCAGCCAUGCCGCGUGCAGGAUGAAGGUCUUCGGAUUGUAAACUGCUUUUGUCAGGGAAGAAAAGGUCUGUGUUAAUACCAUAGACUGCUGACGGUACCUGAAGAAUAAGCACCGGCUAACUACGUGCCAGCAGCCGCGGUAAUACGUAGGGUGCAAGCGUUAAUCGGAAUUACUGGGCGUAAAGCGUGCGCAGGCGGUUCUGUAAGACAGAUGUGAAAUCCCCGGGCUCAACCUGGGAAUGGCAUUUGUGACUGCAGGACUAGAGUUCAUCAGAGGGGGGUGGAAUUCCAAGUGUAGCAGUGAAAUGCGUAGAUAUUUGGAAGAACACCAAUGGCGAAGGCAGCCCCCUGGGAUGCGACUGACGCUCAUGCACGAAAGCGUGGGGAGCAAACAGGAUUAGAUACCCUGGUAGUCCACGCCCUAAACGAUGUCUACUGGUUGUUGGGAAUUUAAUAUUCUUGGUAACGAAGCUAACGCGUGAAGUAGACCGCCUGGGGAGUACGGUCGCAAGAUUAAAACUCAAAGGAAUUGACGGGGACCCGCACAAGCGGUGGAUGAUGUGGAUUAAUUCGAUGCAACGCGAAAAACCUUACCUAGCCUUGACAUGCCGAGAAUCCCGAAGAGAUUUGGGAGUGCCCGUAAGGGAACUUGGACACAGGUGCUGCAUGGUUGUCGUCAGCUCGUGUCGUGAGAUGUUGGGUUAAGUCCCGCAACGAGCGCAACCCUUGUCACUAGUUGCUACGCAAGAGCACUCUAGUGAGACUGCCGAUGAUAAAUCGGAGGAAGGUGGGGAUGACGUCAAGUCCUCAUGGCCCUUAUGGCUAGGGCCUCACACGUCAUACAAUGGUCGGAACAGAGGGCAGCGAAGCCGCGAGGUGGAGCAAAUCCCAGAAAACCGAUCGUAGUCCGGAUUGCAGUCUGCAACUCGACU